CCAUGCCGCGUGUGUGAAGAAGGUCUUCGGAUUGUAAAGCACUUUAAGUUGGGAGGAAGGGCAGUAAGCUAAUACCUUGCUGUUUUGACGUUACCGACAGAAUAAGCACCGGCUAACUCUGUGCCAGCAGCCGCGGUAAUACAGAGGGUGCAAGCGUUAAUCGGAAUUACUGGGCGUAAAGCGCGCGUAGGUGGUUUGUUAAGUUGGAUGUGAAAGCCCCGGGCUCAACCUGGGAACUGCAUCCAAAACUGGCAAGCUAGAGUACGGUAGAGGGUGGUGGAAUUUCCUGUGUAGCGGUGAAAUGCGUAGAUAUAGGAAGGAACACCAGUGGCGAAGGCGACCACCUGGACUGAUACUGACACUGAGGUGCGAAAGCGUGGGGAGCAAACAGGAUUAGAAACCCUUGUAGUCCAGACCAAGUCU
rnacentral:rRNA from 1 species